CAGCGUGCCAGUCAGACCCGGCUAAGGAGAAUUAGAAUGUCACUCACCCCUCGGAGUGAAGGUACGCUCAGGCGCGAAGAUGAGUUCCUGCUCCUGGUGUAACCCGGGCUGCACCGGAUCAUUAAUCACACGGACCCGAUGUCCCAACGUGUUUGACGAGCGACGCGCAAACGUGGCGCCGUGCACCUGACCUUCCAUCUGUCCCUCUCUGCCAAUCUCUCCUGUCUCCUUCUCUGUCGUCUUCUCCGCCCCCCCCACCCCCCCUCCUCCGUUCACUCCUGCACCUCCUACCUUUAACGCCUGCCUCCUAGGCUCGUACCGCACACGAGAGCCUGUCCUCGCUUGGUACUGACCCAACGAUCCGUCAACUAAUGAACUAAUGACACAGAGGUUCCUACCUCACCCACGAGGCCAGCGGGUUGGACGAGCACGGCGAGGUGCAGGAGGCUUUCCUCAACGGCAACGACGCCAGCCAGGGAAAGAAGGAGUACCUACUGUAGCCCACCCCCCCCCCCCACCCCCUCCUCCUCUGACCCCCAAAACCCUCCCUCUCCUUGUCUCUCCCCUUAUAUACAGUAUAAACACACACACACACACACUUGUAUACUAAGCAGCCUUCUAGAAACAACUGUAUACAGACACAUCCAAACCGCUCCAUUCCACUUCAUGUCCUCCACACACACACACACACACGCACACACACACGCACACACACACGCACACACACACACACACACACCUAGCGACCAGCUGAGGAAAAGAGAGCCUAUAGACCCACCAGCUAUCGACGGCCGUGCCAUUGUACUUGGAGUCGUAGAAUCGGUGGGACACGGAGAGCGAGCGAGGGUGAAUGUAGGCGGUGACCAGACGACGCCAUAAUCAUAUUUUGAUGGAGAGGGAGGGAGGGGGGGGGCACAGAGAGGGAGGGAGUGGAGCUGGGGGGGGCCGAUGGAGAAAGCCGUUUUCACAAAGCUCGAUCGAUAACUGACGGAGGCGCUUCGAGUGGGAACCGGCGAGAAAAUGAACACUUUGAAAAUGGCCAAAGCGUCUCAAUGAGUCCACUAACAAGAGGAGGCGCCGAGCCGGGCGGCACCAGGCUUCACGGGCCAGAUCCAUGCCAGUUUUGUUAAAAUUCCUUUUAAUGAUUUUAUCUCCUCUCGCUGCGAGGAGAGCGGAUCUCCUCUCUUUCAAUUAAGUCUCCGUCUCCUCCCUCCGCUCACCUGCCACCACCCCCCCCCCCCCCUCUAUCUCUCCUCCUUUGUUGGCUCCUAUUAAUGAAAGGAUUAGUGUUGGGCCGCGUUCCGAACGAGGAAGAAAGGAAUAUGACUUGCCGAGGCAUUAAAGAAGAGCUUAAUUAUUUUAGAAUGUCAUUAAGAGGAUAAAAAGGUUUAAAAGUCCUCAGAAGGGCGAAGGGAGGGAACCAAUUAGGAAGUGAAAUGGGUGGAUGUUUUUUUUUGCUUCUGAGUGCCACCACACGCGCCGACACAUUUGCACACAUUUAUACACACAGUAGGCAGAACACAUAUCUCUGAACACUGUAUUUGUAUUAAAAAAAAGAACAGCAACAUAAAUUAAAUCUUUUAAGAAAAAAAAAAAAAGUUUACUAUUGAAACGCAUUAUGAAUCAAAUAUACUAACACAGAAUAUUAGCCUGUAGAGGUGCAACGCCGAACAAACCUGUCCAGUGAUCUUUAAAGAAAAUAAAGAAAAGAAUAAAAAAAAAUGUCAUUUGUCUUUAUGAGAAACCAGAGGUCUAAUGGAUUUUUUAAUAAUUGUUAUUAUUUGAACACUUCUGAUUGUUGUUAAUGUUAUUAUUAUUAUUGCCGUUGUUCUUAUUACAAUUGUAAAUGUUAAAGAAAUGUACACUUCCCAUGGUUUGUUUUCUGUUCCACUGUAGAGAAACUGCUGUCUUUUGUUUCACUCUUACCUCCCCCCCCCCUCUUAGUCUCCUGUGCCUAGUCGUCUCUUCUCCGCUCCUUCACUCCCGUUUAUUUUAGAGUCCAUGCGUAACUGUUGAUAUAUAGCUAACUAUUCUUUAUAGGGGAAAGAUACAAAGCACGAAAAAAUUAAAAAGAAUUCCAAAAUAA